AUUGAACGCUGGCGGCAGGCCUAACACAUGCAAGUCGAACGGUAACAGAAAGCAGCUUGCUGCUUUGCUGACGAGUGGCGGACGGGUGAGUAAUGUCUGGGAAACUGCCUGAUGGAGGGGGAUAACUACUGGAAACGGUAGCUAAUACCGCAUAACGUCGCAAGACCAAAGAGGGGGACCUUCGGGCCUCUUGCCAUCGGAUGUGCCCAGAUGGGGUUAGCUAGUAGGUGGGGUAACGGCUCACCCAGACGACGAUCCCUAGCUGGUCUGAGAGGAUGACCAGCCACACUGGAACUGGGACACGGGCCAGACUCCUGCGGGAGGCAGAAGUGGGGAAUAUUGCACAAUGGGCGCAAGCCUGAUGCAGCCAUGCCGCGUGUAUGAAGAAGGCCUUCGGGUUGUAAAGUACUUUCAGCGAGGAGGAAGGUGUUGAGGUUAAUAACCGCAGCAAUUGACGUUACUCGCAGAAGAAGCACCGGCUAACUCCGUGCCAGCAGCAGCCGCCG
rnacentral:rRNA from 1 species